AGCGAACGCUGGCGGCAGGCCUAACACAUGCAAGUCGAACGAACCUUUCGGGGUUAGUGGCGGACGGGUGAGUAACACGUGGGAACGUGCCUUUAGGUUCGGAAUAACUCAGGGAAACUUGUGCUAAUACCGAAUGUGCCCUUCGGGGGAAAGAUUAAUCGCCUUUAGAGCGGCCCGCGUCUGAUUAGCUAGUUGGUUGAGGUAAUGGCUCACCAAGGCGACGAUCAGUAGCUGGUCUGAGAGGAUGAUCAGCCACAUUGGGACUGAGACACGGCCCAAACUCCUACGGGAGGCAGCAGUGGGGAAUCUUGCGCAAUGGGCGAAAGCCUGACGCAGCCAUGACGCGUGAAUGAUGAAGGUCUUAGGAUUGUAAAAUCCUUUAACCGGGGACGAUAAUGACGGUACCAGGAGAAGAAGCCCCGGCUAACUUCGUG
rnacentral:rRNA from 1 species